GGGUUGUGAGGUUAAGCGACUAAGCGUACACGGUGGAUGCCCUGGCAGUCAGAGGCGAUGAAGGACGUGCUAAUCUGCGAUAAGCGUCGGUAAGGUGAUAUGAACCGUUAUAACCGGCGAUUUCCGAAUGGGGAAACCCAGUGUGAUUCGUCACACUAUCAUUAACUGAAUCCAUAGGUUAAUGAGGCGAACCGGGGGAACUGAAACAUCUAAGUACCCCGAGGAAAAGAAAUCAACCGAGAUUCCCCCAGUAGCGGCGAGCGAACGGGGAGCAGCCCAGAGCCUGAAUCAGUGUGUGUGUUAGUGGAAGCGUCUGGAAAGGCGUGCGAUACAGGGUGACAGCCCCGUACACAAAAAUGCACAUAUUGUGAGCUCGAUGAGUAGGGCGGGACACGUGGUAUCCUGUCUGAAUAUGGGGGGACCAUCCUCCAAGGCUAAAUACUCCUGACUGACCGAUAGUGAACCAGUACCGUGAGGGAAAGGCGAAAAGAACCCCGGCGAGGGGAGUGAAAAAGAACCUGAAACCGUGUACGUACAAGCAGUGGGAGCACGCUUAGGCGUGUGACUGCGUACCUUUUGUAUAAUGGGUCAGCGACUUAUAUUCUGUAGCAAGGUUAACCGAAUAGGGGAGCCGAAGGGAAACCGAGUCUUAACUGGGCGUUAAGUUGCAGGGUAUAGACCCGAAACCCGGUGAUCUAGCCAUGGGCAGGUUGAAGGUUGGGUAACACUAACUGGAGGACCGAACCGACUAAUGUUGAAAAAUUAGCGGAUGACUUGUGGCUGGGGGUGAAAGGCCAAUCAAACCGGGAGAUAGCUGGUUCUCCCCGAAAGCUAUUUAGGUAGCGCCUCGUGAAUUCAUCUCCGGGGGUAGAGCACUGUUUCGGCAAGGGGGUCAUCCCGACUUACCAACCCGAUGCAAACUGCGAAUACCGGAGAAUGUUAUCACGGGAGACACACGGCGGGUGCUAACGUCCGUCGUGAAGAGGGAAACAACCCAGACCGCCAGCUAAGGUCCCAAAGUCAUGGUUAAGUGGGAAACGAUGUGGGAAGGCCCAGACAGCCAGGAUGUUGGCUUAGAAGCAGCCAUCAUUUAAAGAAAGCGUAAUAGCUCACUGGUCGAGUCGGCCUGCGCGGAAGAUGUAACGGGGCUAAACCAUGCACCGAAGCUGCGGCAGCGACGCUUAUGCGUUGUUGGGUAGGGGAGCGUUCUGUAAGCCUGCGAAGGUGUGCUGUGAGGCAUGCUGGAGGUAUCAGAAGUGCGAAUGCUGACAUAAGUAACGAUAAAGCGGGUGAAAAGCCCGCUCGCCGGAAGACCAAGGGUUCCUGUCCAACGUUAAUCGGGGCAGGGUGAGUCGACCCCUAAGGCGAGGCCGAAAGGCGUAGUCGAUGGGAAACAGGUUAAUAUUCCUGUACUUGGUGUUACUGCGAAGGGGGGACGGAGAAGGCUAUGUUGGCCGGGCGACGGUUGUCCCGGUUUAAGCGUGUAGGCUGGUUUUCCAGGCAAAUCCGGAAAACUAAGGCUGAGGCGUGAUGACGAGGCACUACGGUGCUGAAGCAACAAAUGCCCUGCUUCCAGGAAAAGCCUCUAAGCAUCAGGUAACAUCAAAUCGUACCCCAAACCGACACAGGUGGUCAGGUAGAGAAUACCAAGGCGCUUGAGAGAACUCGGGUGAAGGAACUAGGCAAAAUGGUGCCGUAACUUCGGGAGAAGGCACGCUGAUAUGUAGGUGAAGUCCCUCGCGGAUGGAGCUGAAAUCAGUCGAAGAUACCAGCUGGCUGCAACUGUUUAUUAAAAACACAGCACUGUGCAAACACGAAAGUGGACGUAUACGGUGUGACGCCUGCCCGGUGCCGGAAGGUUAAUUGAUGGGGUUAGCGCAAGCGAAGCUCUUGAUCGAAGCCCCGGUAAACGGCGGCCGUAACUAUAACGGUCCUAAGGUAGCGAAAUUCCUUGUCGGGUAAGUUCCGACCUGCACGAAUGGCGUAAUGAUGGCCAGGCUGUCUCCACCCGAGACUCAGUGAAAUUGAACUCGCUGUGAAGAUGCAGUGUACCCGCGGCAAGACGGAAAGACCCCGUGAACCUUUACUAUAGCUUGACACUGAACAUUGAGCCUUGAUGUGUAGGAUAGGUGGGAGGCUUGGAAGUGUGGACGCCAGUCUGCAUGGAGCCGACCUUGAAAUACCACCCUUUAAUGUUUGAUGUUCUAACGUUGACCCGUAAUCCGGGUUGCGGACAGUGUCUGGUGGGUAGUUUGACUGGGGCGGUCUCCUCCUAAAGAGUAACGGAGGAGCACGAAGGUUGGCUAAUCCUGGUCGGACAUCAGGAGGUUAGUGCAAUGGCAUAAGCCAGCUUGACUGCGAGCGUGACGGCGCGAGCAGGUGCGAAAGCAGGUCAUAGUGAUCCGGUGGUUCUGAAUGGAAGGGCCAUCGCUCAACGGAUAAAAGGUACUCCGGGGAUAACAGGCUGAUACCGCCCAAGAGUUCAUAUCGACGGCGGUGUUUGGCACCUCGAUGUCGGCUCAUCACAUCCUGGGGCUGAAGUAGGUCCCAAGGGUAUGGCUGUUCGCCAUUUAAAGUGGUACGCGAGCUGGGUUUAGAACGUCGUGAGACAGUUCGGUCCCUAUCUGCCGUGGGCGCUGGAGAACUGAGGGGGGCUGCUCCUAGUACGAGAGGACCGGAGUGGACGCAUCACUGGUGUUCGGGUUGUCAUGCCAAUGGCACUGCCCGGUAGCUAAAUGCGGAAGAGAUAAGUGCUGAAAGCAUCUAAGCACGAAACUUGCCCCGAGAUGAGUUCUCCCUGACUCCUUGAGAGUCCUGAAGGAACGUUGAAGACGACGACGUUGAUAGGCCGGGUGUGUAAGCGCAGCGAUGCGUUGAGCUAACCGGUACUAAUGAACCGUGAGGCUUAACCUUACAACGCCGAAGGUGUUU
rnacentral:rRNA from 2 species